ACAUCACUGGUUCCUGUAUGAUCACCGAAGUUAAGCAACAUGGAACCUGGUCAGUAUCUAGAUGGGUGACUGCUUGGGAACACCAGGUGCUGUAA